GGCUGGUUUGUGCUGCCUAACCUGGACUGACCGUGCGGCUGGCUGAGGCUGCACACCUGUUGCACAUUGAGCAAUCAGUGUGCAACAUGUUAAACCAGCCGUCACCACACAUCUCCUGCAUGGUAACCCGGAGCCCCAUGUAUCUCAUAGUCAGAUAUCGUUGUCUGCAACCUCACAAUGAACCGGUCUUCCAACACCACUGCUCUGCGUCCUUGUCUGGAGGAGCUCAGCUUAAGUUACCUAGGUGGAGUGUGGCAGCGUUGUUACAAACUCGAAUGCACCUGGAUACAUUUCACUCAGAUGUUCCGUGAUCUCCUUCACAAACCUUCCAUGACCUGAACUUCCUCUAUUUAGAAGUUGGCGUAUAGACGAGAGGAACAAGAUGUCCCUGGACUAGCUGACAUUUUCGACUGCGGUUGCCCGGCUCAUCUCAAGAUGGCAGAUCUUCAGUUUAGCCCUGAUUGGAGAGGAGGGCCCCAUCAUGCAUGAGCAAUCAACUCUCAAGGAUCAUCAAGGUGUCACAGUAUAGCGGGCUAUCGAUCGAAUGGCGAUACAUUAUGCAGUACCACGGCCACGAUUUCCCGCGAUGAAACUCUGCUACAACCAUUAACCUUCCUCAGACCCGAGGCAGAUGUUCUCGUCCAACGGUUAAAAAAGCAUUCAUGGUCAGAUUUAAUUUAAAGAGAACAAUUUUCUCCCAUCAUAUUCUAGACACCCAGCGGACUUUAAAAAAACUGAUAUUGGAUUGCCAUUGUGGUUCCGGUGCGCACUCGGGUUGCGUGGCGCACCUGUUACUUGUUUUGAGCCCCCAGAAACCACCUUGAAUACCUCGACAUGUGUUGCCAUCGGCAACAAGUGAACCAGCAGUCCAAUUUGGUAGAGACAGUGUUGUGUAAGAGUAUGGAAGCAAGUCAUUGGAAUAUGAUUAUACUUUUAAAUGGCAUGAAGUAACUGAAUAAAUUGAAUUGCAUCUUCUUAUUUUUGUUAUGUUUUGGAUUCAUCGUUUAAGCGAAGUUCCACAUAUGGUCGAGGUAAAGCGUAAACAGAACCAUCUCUUUAUCUCAGCAAUCAAUGUUCAGAAGUUUUUUGGUCUUACUGUAUGCAUACCUAACC
ensembl:lncRNA